rnacentral:miRNA from 7 species
UGUCAUGGAGUUGCUCUCUUUA